GCGGGUAUAAUAUAGUGGUAUUAUACGUCCUUGCCAAGGAUGAGAGACGGGUUCGAUUCCCGUUACCCGCU
rnacentral:tRNA from 1 species